GAUGAACGCUGGCGGCGUGCCUAAUACAUGCAAGUCGAGCGAACGGACGAGAAGCUUGCUUUUCUGAUGUUAGCGGCGGACGGGUGAGUAACACGUGGAUAACCUACCUAUAAGACUGGGAUAACUUCGGGAAACCGGAGCUAAUACCGGAUAAUAGUUUGAACCGCAUGGUUCAAAAGUGAAAGACGGUCUUGCUGUCACUUAUAGAUGGAUCCGCGCUGCAUUAGCUAGUUGGUAAGGUAACGGCUUACCAAGGCAACGAUGCAUAGCCGACCUGAUAGGGUGAUCGGCCCAACUGGAACUGAGACACGGUCAAGACUCCUAGGGGAGGCACAAGUAGGGAAUCUUCCGCAAUGGGCGAAAGCCUGACGGAGAAACGCCGCGUGAGUGAUGCAGGUCUCCGGAUCGUAAAACUCUGUUAUUAGGGAAGAACAUAUGUGUAAGUAACUGUGCACAUCUUGACGGUACCUAAUCAGAAAGCCACGGCUAACUACGUG
rnacentral:rRNA from 1 species